UUGUGCACGCACUUAGAAGCUAGCAAAAUUUAGAAUGCUAAUUCAGGUUCAUAUAACAUAAGGUAAAUAAUAAAAUUAUAAAAUAUUUCCUGACAGAAUCAUGCACUUCUCGGCUACUGGAACAUACAUGCGGACCCAUAGGGAGCAUGCUCUUGACAACCCGUGUUCUAACCCUCCCAGCAAGAUUACCAUUACCUCUGUCCUCUCUCUCAGUAAUCUCUGGGGCAUGUUCGUGGUACUGGCAGGAGGUCACCUUUUGGCAGCGUUGGUCCUAUUCCUCGAGCUUCUACAUAGUUGAGCUCAGGAGCUUACCCUUACGUCGUCCUAGUUAAGACAAGAUGCCUCAUCCUAGAACUAUGUUGCUGAUGACUACAAUGAACGCAUAUUAGGAAGAAAGUAGCAUGUCAUAAUCUCGUUUCAUAUUCUUUCAAAUUCCAAAUAUCUGAUGCCUGAAGUAUGGACUUUUUACUGUGAAUGCAAUACAGUAUAUAAUGAAUUAAUUUUAUGUUAUUAUGACUGUAAAGGAUGUACAUUUUGGAGAUGAUAGCUAAUGAAGAUCAUUAUUAUUACUUGAUCUCAGAUAUGUUCUUCAGUAAAUGGUUAAUAAAGAGUUGCACAAUU